rnacentral:rRNA from 1 species
AACGCUGGCGGCAUGCUUUUCACAUGCAAGUCGGACGGCAGCACAGAGAAGCUUGCUUCUUGGGUGGCGAGUGGCGAACGGGUGAGUAACAUAUCGGAACAUACCGAGCAGUGGGGGAUAACUAAUCGAAAGAUUAGCUAAUGCCGCAUAUAUUCUGAGGAAGAAAGCAGGGGACCAUUUGGCCUUGCGCUGUUUGAGCGGCCGAUACCUGAUUAGCUAGUUGGUGGGGUAAAGGCCUACCAAGGCGACGAUCAGUAGCGGGUCUGAGAGGAUGAUCCGCCACACUGGGACUGAGACACGGCCCAGACUCCUACGGGAGGCAGCAGUGGGGAAUUUUGGACAAUGGGCGCAAGCCUGAUCCAGACCAUGCCGCGUGUCUGAAGAAGGCCUUCGGGUUGUAAAGGUCUUUCCUCAGGAA